AGUCUGUCUAUAAAGUCGUGACAUGAAUGUUUGAGGAACUAACAUUAUUCAUGUGUCUGGCAACACCAAAGUUCACCAAACAUAUGUACAUCAGCUGUCAUCGAGAACAAGUUGUGGAACGAUUUUCAUUUUGUGGUUUUUAUUGUUUGACUAAUCUCCAGUAAAUUAUUACUCAGCUACGAAGAAAAGUAUAAACAAUGAGUAAAGUAAAUUGGAGUGCCACGCGGAAAGUGAUUUUUAAAGUUUUCCAGCAAUGUUCCGCGGAGUACCAAGCUGGUCAAAUUUUGUGGGAUUUGGAUGAUGUUUAAGGGCGAACAGCAUCUUUGACGGGAAAAUCAGAGAGUACGGUUAGGCGCAUAGUUAAUGAAGG